rnacentral:rRNA from 1 species
CACAGGUGGUGCAUGGUUGUCGUCAGCUCGUGUCGUGAGAUGUUGGGUUAAGUCCCGCAACGAGCGCAACCCUCGUCCCAUGUUGCCAGCGGGUUAUGCCGGGGACUCAUGGGAGACUGCCGGGGUCAACUCGGAGGAAGGUGGGGAUGACGUCAAAUCAUCAUGCCCCUUAUGUCUUGGGCUUCACGCAUGCUACAAUGGCCGGUACAGAGGGCUGCGAUACCGUGAGGUGGAGCGAAUCCCUAAAAGCCGGUCUCAGUUCGGAUCGGGGUCUGCAACUCGACCCCGUGAAGUCGGAGUCGCUAGUAAUCGCAGAUCAGCAACGCUGCGGUGAAUACGUUCCCGGGCCUUGUACACACCGCCCGUCAAGUCACGAAAGUUGGUAACACCCGAAGCCCAUGGCCCAACCCGUAAGGGGCGGAGUGUCGAAGGUGGACUGGCGACUGCGAC